rnacentral:rRNA from 1 species
AGAGCGAACGCUGGCGGCAGGCUUAACACAUGCAAGUCGAGCGGGCGUAGCAAUACGUCAGCGGCAGACGGGUGAGUAACACGUGGGAACGUACCUUUUGGUUCGGAGCAACACAGGGAAACUUGUGCUAAUACCGAAUAAGCCCUUACGGGGAAAGAUUUAUCGCCGAAAGAUCGGCCCGCGUCUGAUUAGCUAGUUGGUGAGGUAACGGCUCACCAAGGCGACGAUCAGUAGCUGGUCUGAGAGGAUGAUCAGCCACAUUGGGACUGAGACACGGCCCAAACUCCUACGGGAGGCAGCAGUGGGGAAUAUUGGACAAUGGGGGCAACCCUGAUCCAGCCAUGCCGCGUGAGUGAUGAAGGCCCUAGGGUUGUAAAGCUCUUUUGUGCGGGAAGAUAAUGACGGUACCGCAAGAAUAAGCCCGGCUAACUUCGUGCCAGCAGCCGC